rnacentral:rRNA from 1 species
AAUGGGGGGAACCCUGAUCCAGCCAUGCCGCGUGUGUGAAGAAGGCCUUUUGGUUGUAAAGCACUUUAAGCGAGGAGGAGGCUUACCUAGUUAAUACCUGGGAUAAGUGGACGUUACUCGCAGAAUAAGCACCGGCUAACUCUGUGCCAGCAGCCGCGGUAAUACAGAGGGUGCGAGCGUUAAUCGGAUUUACUGGGCGUAAAGCGUGCGUAGGCGGCUUUUUAAGUCGGAUGUGAAAUCCCCGAGCUUAACUUGGGAAUUGCAUUCGAUACUGGGAAGCUAGAGUAUGGGAGAGGAUGGUAGAAUUCCAGGUGUAGCGGUGAAAUGCGUAGAGAUCUGGAGGAAUACCGAUGGCGAAGGCAGCCAUCUGGCCUAAUACUGACGCUGAGGUACGAAAGCAUGGGGAGCAAACAGGAUUAGAUACCCUGGUAGUCCAUGCCGUAAACGAUGUCUACUAGCCGUUGGGGCCUUUGAGGCUUUAGUGGCGCAGCUAACGCGAUAAGUAGACCGCCUGGGGAGUAC